GACGAACGCUGGCGGCGUGCCUAAUACAUGCAAGUUGAGCGCUGAAGGUUGGUACUUGUACCAACUGGAUGAGCAGCGAACGGGUGAGUAACGCGUGGGGAAUCUGCCUUUGAGCGGGGGACAACAUUUGGAAACGAAUGCUAAUACCGCAUAAAAACUUUAAACACAAGUUUUAAGUUUGAAAGAUGCAAUUGCAUCACUCAAAGAUGAUCCCGCGUUGUAUUAGCUAGUUGGUGAGGUAAAGGCUCACCAAGGCGAUGAUACAUAGCCGACCUGGGAGGGUGAUCGGCCACAUUGGGACUGAGACACGGCCCAAACUCCUACGGGAGGCAGCAGUAGGGAAUCUUCGGCAAUGGACGAAAGUCUGACCGAGCAACGCCGCGUGAGUGAAGAAGGUUUUCGGAUCGGAAAACUCGGUUGGUAGAGAAGAACGUUGGUGAGAGUGGAAAGCUCAUCAAGUGACGGUAACUACCCAGAAAGGGACGGCUAACUACGUG
rnacentral:rRNA from 1 species